AUAGGAAUUACCAUCUCAUAGAAUUGUGAGGAUUACAUAAAAUAAAGGAUGUACAAUGCCUAGGAUGGGUAAGUGAGUUGUAAAUGCUGGCUUAUGAUGAUUAUUCCUCAAAGAAUACAGUUGGCUGUGGCUGGGAUGAUCAGGCCUCGGGGUCUUACGUUUUCUUUGCCAAAAGAAACAGAAUGAUUUAAGUUUUCUCUUCCAAGGGAAAAUAAUCGUCAGGCUUCUGUGACCUGAGUUGGAGGAGAAAUUUUCAUGCAGUAAGCCGAAGAAUUUCUAAAUAUCUUUCUUUUGUUUAUUUCAUUUCCCUUCAUUGUUGCUACCUGGGCAAAAAGGCAUCUGGAUGAUUUUCAAUCCUAAUUUAACUGCUAUGGAGCUAUGCAAACUUGGCACAAAGCCUCCGGAAUAGCUGCUUGAUGGGGGAGAAGUCAGAUGAUCUCUUAAAAGUCACGGUAACGGAGAGCGAGAAGGACUGAAACCGUGAGUUACGGCCUGGUUUGCAGAAAGGCCCAGGCUUCUGGUGAUGGAGGGAGCGAUGGAGGGUCUUUCCUGCUCCGGCAUGGCCUCUUCUGUCUAAGGGGGUGGCCCCGUGGGCAUGUGGGUGACUUGCUGGCCACACAUUCUUUCUUGAGGCUUUAAACCUGGAGUCUCUUUGCCUUUCAGAACUAAAACGGUCCCUGGCGCAUUUGCUGUGUGCAUAUGUUGAUCAUCAUUCAAGACGUGCUUUUGGUGAGCUAGGAAAGCAGUCAGGGCCAGAUGGUGACUCUGACCUUCCCAGAUCAACACUGGGAAGGAGAAGACGGCUAAGGGCUGCUUUGGCAUCAGGCUGACUUGCCCAGUCGUCCAUGAGCACAUAAAUACUUCCUGAGCUUGUAUGUCCCCGUCUGUGGGAGAGGUAAAGUCACCCCUGGUGCUGGGGCCCAGGCAGUGAUGGAAGGGGUGCGGGGGGUGGUACUUAGGAAGGAGACGGGAACGUUUCUUUGGGGCAGCGCUGCUCCGGUGGCGGUACCUGCCUGUGGAGCUGCGGCGGGUCUUCACGGGGAUGCGAUUGCGGAUCCUUCGGCCUCUCUGGGCCAGGCUGUGCUUCAGCUAUGAGACAGGAUUCUGCAUUAACACGGUGCCCCUUGGGGGGCAUUUUGGAGGCCCUGGCUUGAAUUUUGGUGGGAUGGAAGGGACACAAGGAAAUGGGCAGCACCAGGCAGGGUGUUGAGAUGAAGCUUCUGAGGGCUCCAAAGCCGAAGAAGGAGAGUGAGGCUGAAGGAGGAUGGGUAGGGAGAGAAAACCAGCAUGACUCCUGUGGCCCCUCUGGGGUUCAUUUGCGGAGAUUAGUGUGAGUGCUUCGCGUACUGAAGGUACCGAGCCCUUUGUUGAUGGGAUGCCGGUUUCCCGCUGGUUUCCCAGCCUUCAGUGCCAGCACUUGGGCGGCUUCGCCUACCCCCCUCGGGCACGUCUCUGCCACCUUCCCUUUCAGAGCAGCUGGGCCCUCCGUGAUUGGCUGUGGAGCACAGCGUGAGCACUGAUGGCUGAGUCGAGCCCCUUACACUGGACCGGGGACCUCCAGGCACAUUGGCAUCGUUUGCUUUCUGUGGAAAAUGGCAGGAAUCACUCCCCCUGCCUGCUUUUCCCCUCUCAGAUUGUUAUGAGAAUAAAUAUUUGAAAAUAUCUUGUAAAAGACAGCAUUCACGUUUACAAGUUUUGUUUUUAUUUUUAUUUUUAUUUUUAAUUACAAAAAGAAGUUUAUUUCAAAAGCAAAAGAGAACAUUUACAUUUGAACAAAGUGACAGACUGGUUGUCCUGCAAAAGAAAAAAAUUCAUGGCAUGAAGUUUCUCAUUUAAAAGCUUUGAAGCAAAAAUAACUUCAGUUGUGCAUUCUUGCCUUAGGAAAGGGAAGGAAAACUGUAAAACAGGUUUGGAAAGAAAAAAAUCUCUCUCUGGCCAGAGAAUAAACCUAGCAACACGGUGAUCUGGUAUGCGGCAUCAACUCGUCACCCUCCCUGAGCUGAUGCCAUCGUAUUCGAGGUUUCCUCUCACCAUCUUCAGCACCAACUCUGCUUCCUGAGUCCCAAGAAGGAAGCCUGGGAGAUGGGAUUGCUAGAAUUCAGUUUCAUCUGCUAGUCUUCUGCCAGUUCUCUGCAGACUGCAAGAAAGAUGAACUUGCUCGUCCCUCUCCUUUGGGUGGGAUCCCAAGCACCACGGCCACUUGAAGACCUUCAACUUUGGCAUCAACAUGCCCAAGGGCUCUUGCACAGCAUUUAAGGGCCUACAGACCAUGGAGGCUGGAGAGCGGGAGUCCUCCUGAGUCAGAGCAGGGAUAACAAGACUUUGCUGCGGGAAAUGAUUUUGCCCUUGGUGAUGGCCAUUUACCAUGACUGCAGGUGACUCAGAGUGAGUGGAUGUUUGCACACAAGUUGGAACUCGAAGGAACUUCAGGUUCAAUCUCCAUCCUUUAGGACUUCAGGUCUGGCUAAAGAACAACCUGUGGAAUCAGACACACCUGGAUUUGAAUGUGGGGAAGGGCCCUCCCACCCCAGCAAGGUGACACCAGUGCUGAAACUGAAUGGCAAGAAGGAGCCCGCCAGGCAUGCGCUCUGGGGAGGAAAGACCGAGGAAGGCCACCUGCUCUGACGUCCCCGGCCCUGGAGCUCCCCCGGGAGCAGCCAGCACCCAGGCGGAACCACACUCACCUGCCAGCUGGUGGCCAUAUCCAGAGGAGUGGUUCCUGGCGGGACCCCUUCAUCCUCGUCCCAAGAGUCAUCCAGGUCGUACAGAGGCUCAAAGUUCUCCACCAGGGGAUCUGCUCCUGCGAAGUCAAGUUACACAGCGUUAGGUAAAGCCACAUCUUGUCAACUUCUAACUGCCUGCAGGGGUCAGAGUCUAUACAUAGAUAAAACAUGUUUAUUUAUAAACAUAUAAAACACAUUUCUACUGAAAUAUCCAGAACCCUGCUUUUAAAUUUAAAAAUUUAAAUGUAAAUAAAUUCUAGUGCAUCUUGACUGUAAAGGUGACUGAAGAUACCCCAUAUGGCCAAGGACACUUUCAAAAACAAAAGACCUGGAACACGCUGACUCUCACAUUUAACGCUAUAGGAGAGUUUUCAAGUGAACGAUGCAUCUUUAACCCGAGGACUGAUGGCGACAGUUUACAGGGACUAGGGCGCACGCUCAGGAUUAAGGUCCUAAAUGUUCAAAUUGAUGCCCAGUGCCGCACAUUUCUCAGCCUCUUCACCUGCCUGCUCAAAAGAGCAAAGCUGCUUGCUGUCUAGUGCCAAACUGUUCCAUUUUACCCCCGGGUACGGCACUGAUCCUUAAACGCAAAAUGCCAAGAAAACCUUCUGGUAGGAUGUGGAGUUGUUGAAAAAGUUAGGGCCAAUCUUGGAAAAUCUAGUCUGUUCCUUAGCCAGCAGCAAGAAACACGUGAAGGAACUCAAAAAUUAAGGCUAUAGUUAACUUCUCAAAGGCUUAGAGAGACUAUUUUUAUUCAGAGAGUGUUUAGCUUGCUGCCUGAUGAACAGUAGGAAGUUUAGCACGCUCUCCUUUUGGAAAGAGGACCUUGUUUUAAUCUUGCUGGGAGGACGUUUGACUUUUGACAACUUCAAUGAUAGGGAGUGCCUAACGAGAGGAUCUGCAUGCCACUUCUCACUCUGCUCUCCCAGCUGCAGCCUGAUCUCGGGGGCAGUAAGUGUCACCUGACCACGGAAACAGUAGAGAAACUAGGAUGAACAAUCUGCAGGACCAAAGAUGGAGAAGCUGAACUAGGUCUGUUCCUUAAGUGAUCUCCUUCAUGACUCUGAGCUCAGGACUAGGUUUUUUGUUUUUGUUUUUAAAUUUUAUUUAUUUUAUUUUUGGCUGCGUUGGGUCUUCAUUGCUGCACGUGGCCUUUCUCUAGUUGCGGUGAGUGGGGGCUACUCUUCGUUGCGGUGCGUGGGCUUCUCAUUAUGGUGGCUUCUCUUAUUGCGGAGCCUAGGCUCUAGGCGCACAGGCUUCAGUAGUUGUGGCUCGCGGGCUCUAGAGCGCAGGCUCAGUAGUUGUGGCUCACGGGCUUAGUUGCUCCGCGGCACAUGGGAUCUUCCCAGACCAGGGCUCGAACCCGUGUCCCCUGCGUUGGCAGGCGGAUUCUCAACCACUGCGCCACCAGGGAAGCCCAGGACUAGGUGUUUCUUCCGAGUUUCUUCAUUUAUAUACUGGAGAAACUGCUACUUGCUACUCCUUUCAUGGGAUACUGAGAAUUAGAGAGAAAGCAUUCUUGGAAGGGUCAGAGCUUCUCAUCUGAAGGCAUUUCUUAAUUAUAACCAGUGACUCCCCACACUAUUCAUACACACGGCAAUCAUCGUCUCUUGUUCACGGGAACGUCAGCUUGACAAUGGAGGAAAGAAAAGGCUGCUGCUUAUUCGGGAUGUGAUGUCAGAAAAAUGUAGUGCUGCCAAAGAAAAGGUUCUUGUAUCUUUCUGGCCUCAGUUUUUUUUUUUGAUUGCUAUGUUGGGUCUUCGUUUCUGUGCUAGGGCUUUCUGUAGUUGUGGCAAGCGGGGGCCACUCUUCAUCGCGGUGUGCGGGCCUCUCACUAUCGCGGCCUCUCCUGUUGCGGAGCACAGGCUCCAGACGCGCAGGCUCAGUAGUCGUGGCUCACGGGCCUAGUAGCUCCACGGCAUGUGGGAUCUUCCCAGACCAGGGUGUGAACCCGUGUCCCCUGCAUUAGCAAGGCAGAUUCUCAACCACUGCGCCACCAGGGAAGCCCCUGGCCUCAGUUUUUUUUAGAAGGUAUUUAAUCUACUCUUUUCUUGAAUUUGUGAAGCAUUUAUUUUCUAAAAAAAUUUUAAUAACCUCUGAAGUAAAUCACAUAUGCCAGGACAGGCUUGAGAUACCAAUUCCAUUAAACAUUUUUUGAGGUUCUAAAUACACAAGGCAGUAGAGAUUCAAGGAUGAGCAGGAAUAAUUUUUCUAUAUUUCACAGGAUGAGAGGAUUGAAUUGGAAUAACACCUUCAAAUCCUUGAGCAAAACAGGGGACAGAAACACAGCAGAGAGAAUAGAGUCUGGAAGUUCAGGGUGACAAGGUGUGACUCACAGCUCUGCCCCUUACUGGGGCCCUGGGACCGGGAUGCAGAAAUCUCUCUAGUCUGUUUCCUUGGCUAUAAAAUGGAAUAAUGGGAUUUGUCUCAAAGGGUUAUUGUGGAUUAAGUAAGACUAAAUGAGACAGUGCAUGCGAAGUGCCUAGCCCAACAGAAACUAGCGAUUUUUAGUGCCUGGCACAUGACAGUACUCAACACACGGCCCAUUUGUUUUUUCCCAUUACUUUGGCUUCUCAGGGACCUUUCUUGCAAAAGGAAGUCUUUAAAUCAUUUCUUAUACCAGUAAACUUUUCCUUCUGAGGACUUGUGACAUGACCUGAGGUGGAUAUUGCUCUGAAUUCUACAAGGAAUUCGAUUCAACGUUAUGAAGAUCUCUUGUCAUGGGAGUCAAUGAAGACAACCCACAUCCAAAACAAACAGGUGACCUGGAGAGGAAAAACUAACCUGACUGUUAGCACGAAGCCCAGGAUUACUAGUCCAAACAGUGCCUUUACGGCAGGUGGAUGUGAUUUGCCAGACAACUUUUAUUUCCUCGUGCCUUUCCGCAGCGGGCCUGUGGCUUAAGAAGGUGGCACGGCUGCUCUAUUGAGGCUGGGUUUGCAUUCCUGAUGACAUUUUCCAUCACCGACCGCCGGGCUGCCUUACCUGCUGCCUUGAGAAGAGCUGCCAGCCUCGUGGACCCUCUCCCAGCCGCUAUGUGCAGGGGUGUAGUUCCAUCAUAGGUGGUGCUGUCUACAUGGGCAUCACCCUAAAAUCCCCACACACAGAAAAGGGUUAGUCCAAGGUUCUCUCGCCCUUUUGUCCCCGCCUCCCCGUCUGCACGGCUCCCCGGGUCAUAUUACCAGCCCUGUUGCUAUUUUGGGCCGGCUCUGCCAUUGAAGAAAUCCCCAGUUAGAAAUAACCAGGCAAGGGAUGCCGGGAAAGCCUGAGCUGCUAUUCUGAAGCGUUGAGUAGAUAUUACAAAGGUGGAGCGGAAUGUAGGGAGAUAACCUGUUCGCGACAUCAUUCUUCGAAAAGAUUUCCCCAAAUCCCCUUUGGGAACUGAAUGCAAGGGCAGGUAAGCGCAUCCUUCACCUCCAG